rnacentral:misc_RNA from 1 species
GAUGAAGAACGCAGCGAAAUGCGAUAAGUAAUGUGAAUUGCAGAAUUCAGUGAAUCAUCGAAUCUUUGAACGCAUCUUGCGCUCCUUGGUAUUCCGAGGAGCAUGCCUGUUUGAGUGUCGUGAAUACUCUCAACUUCAACCCUUUUUUCGGAAAGGGAGGAAGGUUGGACUUGGGUGUUUGUUGAAGUGCGAGCUUCGACUCAUCCUAAAUGCAUUAGCGAUCUGCCUCGAUCACACACAAUGUGAUAAUUAAAACUAAAGCAUUGUUUAGUGAUCAAGUCGAGACUGCUUCUAACUGUCGCAAGACAAUAACGUGCAUACAUUUGUGCAUGUCAUUUGACCUCAAAUCAGGUAGGACUACCCGCUGAACUUAAGCAUAUCAAUAAGCGGAGGA